rnacentral:rRNA from 1 species
CCUACGGGAGGCAGCAGUAGGGAAUAUUGCUCAAUGGGGGAAACCCUGAAGCAGCAACGCCGCGUGGAGGAUGAAGGUUUUCGGAUUGUAAACUCCUUUUGUUAUAGAAGAUAAUGACGGUAUCUAACGAAUAAGCACCGGCUAACUCCGUGCCAGCAGCCGCGGUAAUACGGAGGGUGCAAGCGUUACUCGGAAUCACUGGGCGGAAAGAGCGCGUAGGCGGGAUAGCAAGUCAGAUGUGAAAUCCUAUGGCUUAACCAUAGAACUGCAUUUGAAACUGUUAUUCUAGAGUAUGGGAGAGGUAGGUGGAAUUCUUGGUGUAGGGGUAAAAUCCGUAGAGAUCAAGAGGAAUACUCAUUGCGAAGGCGACCUGCUAGAACAUAACUGACGCUGAUGCGCGAAGGCGUGGGGAGCAAACAGGAUUAGAUACCCGAGUAGUC